rnacentral:rRNA from 1 species
AGAGUUUGAUCAUGGCUCAGGAUGAACGCUGGCGGCGUGCCUAAUACAUGCAAGUCGAGCGAACUGAUUAGAAGCUUGCUUCUAUGACGUUAGCGGCGGACGGGUGAGUAACACGUGGGCAACCUGCCUGUAAGACUGGGAUAACUCCGGGAAACCGGAGCUAAUACCGGAUAACAUUUUCUCUUGCAUAAGAGAAAAUUGAAAGAUGGUUUCGGCUAUCACUUACAGAUGGGCCCGCGGUGCAUUAGCUAGUUGGUGAGGUAACGGCUCACCAAGGCAACGAUGCAUAGCCGACCUGAGAGGGUGAUCGGCCACACUGGGACUGAGACACGGCCCAGACUCUUACGGGAGGCAGCAGUAGGGAAUCUUCCGCAAUGGACGAAAGUCUGACGGAGCAACGCCGCGUGAGUGAUGAAGGCUUUCGGGUCGUAAAACUCUGUUGUUAGGGAAGAACAAGUACAAGAGUAACUGCUUGUACCUUGACGGUACCUAACCAGAAAGCCACGGCUAACUACGUGCCAGCAGCCGCGGUAAUACGUAGGUGGCAAGCGUUAUCCGGAAUUAUUGGGCGUAAAGCGCGCGCAGGCGGUUUCUUAAGUCUGAUGUGAAAGCCCACGGCUCAACCGUGGAGGGUCAUUGGAAACUGGGGAACUUGAGUGCAGAAGAGAAAAGCGGAAUUCCACGUGUAGCGGUGAAAUGCGUAGAGAUGUGGAGGAACACCAGUGGCGAAGGCGGCUUUUUGGUCUGUAACUGACGCUGAGGCGCGAAAGCGUGGGGAGCAAACAGGAUUAGAUAUCCUGGUAGUCCACGCCGUAAACGAUGAGUGCUAAGUGUUAGAGGGUUUCCGCCCUUUAGUGCUGCAGCUAACGCAUUAAGCACUCCGCCUGGGGAGUACGGUCGCAAGACUGAAACUCAAAGGAAUUGACGGGGGCCCGCACAAGCGGUGGAGCAUGUGGUUUAAUUCGAAGCAACGCGAAGAACCUUACCAGGUCUUGACAUCCUCUGACAACUCUAGAGAUAGAGCGUUCCCCUUCGGGGGACAGAGUGACAGGUGGUGCAUGGUUGUCGUCAGCUCGUGUCGUGAGAUGUUGGGUUAAGUCCCGCAACGAGCGCAACCCUUGAUCUUAGUUGCCAGCAUUUAGUUGGGCACUCUAAGGUGACUGCCGGUGACAAACCGGAGGAAGGUGGGGAUGACGUCAAAUCAUCAUGCCCCUUAUGACCUGGGCUACACACGUGCUACAAUGGAUGGUACAAAGGGCUGCAAGACCGCGAGGUCAAGCCAAUCCCAUAAAACCAUUCUCAGUUCGGAUUGUAGGCUGCAACUCGCCUACAUGAAGCUGGAAUCGCUAGUAAUCGCGGAUCAGCAUGCCGCGGUGAAUACGUUCCCGGGCCUUGUACACACCGCCCGUCACACCACGAGAGUUUGUAACACCCGAAGUCGGUGGGGUAACCUUUAUGGAGCCAGCCGCCUAAGGUGGGACAGAUGAUUGGGGUGAAGUCGUAACAAGGUAACCGUAG